AGAUGUGUAUAAGAGACAGGUAUGGGGUCAAGCUAGAAGGAGAGAAAAUUUAUUCGCUGUUAUAUGCGGAUGACAUGGUGUUGGUGGAAGAGGAGGAUAGGAUGAGAAUCAUGUUAGUAAGUUUAAAACUUUAGAAAAAAUAUUUGGUCUGAUUGAUGGUGAGGUAUGGAAUUAAACUAGAAGGAGAGAAAAUUUACUCGCUGUUAUAUGCGGAUGACAUGGUGUUGGCGGACAAAAAGGAUGGGAUGAGAAUCAUGUUAGGUGGAAACUUUAGAAAAAAUAUUUGGUCUGAUUGAUGGUGUACCUUGGCUAAAGAUCUGCACACAACACUGAAACACUUCGUCACCUCGCCUCGUGCCGCAAGAGAGAGAUCAGAAUAGGUUAACCGGCGAUGAUCAAAUGGCGCGCGCGAUAAAAGGCGAGUUUUCAUUAAUUGCUCAUUAUUGAUCAAUCGAUCACAUUAUGCGUAAAUGCAGCUUUUAUAAGCAAAAUUGCAUUUUACGCAUAAUAAUGCGACUAAUAAGUCCAA